UCCCAGACUCCUACGGGAGGCAGCAGUGGGGAAUAUUGGACAAUGGGGGGAACCCUGAUCCAGCGACGCCGCGUGAGUGAAGAAGUAUUUCGGUAUGUAAAGCUCUAUCAGCAGGGAAGAAAGAAAUGACGGUACCUGACUAAGAAGCCCCGGCUAACUACGUGCCAGCAGCCGCGGUAAUACGUAGGGGGCAAGCGUUAUCCGGAUUUACUGGGUGUAAAGGGAGCGUAGACGGCAGUGCAAGUCUGAAGUGAAAGGCGGGGGCCCAACCCCCGAACUGCUUUGGAAACUGUGCUGCUGGAGUGCAGGAGAGGCAAGUGGAAUUCCUAGUGUAGCGGUGAAAUGCGUAGAUAUUAGGAGGAACACCAGUGGCGAAGGCGGUCUGCUGGACAGCAACUGACGCUGAGGCGCGAAAGCGUGGGGAGCAAACAGGAUUAGAUACCCGCGUA
rnacentral:rRNA from 1 species